rnacentral:tRNA from 1 species
UAGAAUUUAGUUGAUAAACAACAGUAGAUUGCAAGUCUAAAAGUUAUAAUUCUAU